GAUGAACGCUAGCGGGAGGCUUAACACAUGCAAGUCGAGGGGCAGCACGGACUUCGGUCUGGUGGCGACCGGCGCACGGGUGCGUAACGCGUAUGCAACCUGCCUUAUGCAGGGGGAUAGCCCAUGGAAACGUGGAUUAACACCCCAUAUACUAUAAUAUGCUGCAUGGCAUAGAUAGGAAAACUUAGGUGGCAUAGGAUGGGCAUGCGUCUGAUUAGCUAGAUGGUAGGGUAACGGCCUACCAUGGCGACGAUCAGUAGGGGUCCUGAGAGGGUUACCCCCCACACUGGUACUGAGACACGGACCAGACUCCUACGGGAGGCAGCAGUGAGGAAUAUUGGUCAAUGGGCGAGAGCCUGAACCAGCCAUCCCGCGUGCAGGAUGACGGCCCUAUGGGUUGUAAACUGCUUUUCUACGCCAAGAAACCUACUUACGUGUAAGUAGUUGACGGUAGCGUAGGAAUAAGCACCGGCUAACUCCGUGCCAGCAGCCGCGGUAAUACGGAGGGUGCAAGCGUUAUCCGGAUUUAUUGGGUUUAAAGGGUGCGCAGGCGGAAAUAUAAGUCAGUGGUGAAAUACUGCCGCUUAACGGUAGGGUUGCCAUUGAUACUGUUUUUCUUGAGUAUGUGAGAGUCGAGUUG
rnacentral:rRNA from 1 species